UUUAUUUCUCUCUCUGUCUGCCG
rnacentral:miRNA from 1 species